UUGUUGGCCCACUUAUUGAAAAUGACAUAAGUGGCUAAAAAUGGACGAAAAGUUAAGGCUAUAGCCUUACUUUUCGUCCAUUUUUAGCCACUUAUGUCAUUUUUCAUCAGUGGCUACAAA